GCCCCUGUUGCCUAAUGGAUAAGGCAUC
rnacentral:ncRNA from 2 species